UACGAGGGGGGCGAGCGUUGUUCGGAAUUAUUGGGCGUAAAGGGUGCGUAGGCGGUUCCGCAAGUCCUGUGUGAAAUCUUCGGGCUCAACUCGAAGUCUGCACGGGAAACUGCGGGGCUUGAGUGUGGGAGAGGUGAGUGGAAUUCCCGGUGUAGCGGUGAAAUUCGUAGAUAUUGGGGAAGAACACCGGUGGCGAAGGCGGCUCUCUGGACCGUAACUGACGCUGAGGCGCGAAAAGCGUGGGGGAGCAAACAGG
rnacentral:rRNA from 1 species